GAUGAACGCUGGCGGCGUGCCUAAUACAUGCAAGUCGAGCGAACGGACGAGACGCUUGCUUUUCUGAUGUUAGCGGCGGACGGGUGAGUAACACGUGGAUAACCUACCUAUAAGACUGGGAUAACUUCGGGAAACCGGAGCUAAUACCGGAUAAUAUUUUGAACCGAAUGGUUCAAAAGUGAAAGACGGUCUUGCUGUCACUUAUAGAUAGAUCCACGCUGCAUUAGCUAGUUGGUAAGGUAACGGCUUACCAAGGGAACGAUGCAUAGCCGACCUGAGAGGGGGAUCGCCCACACGGGAACUGAGACCCGGUCCAGACUCCUACGGGAGGCAGCAGUAGGGAAUCUUCCGCAAUGGGCGAAAUCCUGACGGAGCACCGCCGCUUGAGGGAUGAAGUUCUUCGGAUCUUAAAACUCUGUUAUUAGGGAAGAACAUAUGUGUAAGUAACUGUGCACAUCUUGACGGUACCUAAUCAGAAAGCCACGGCUAACUACGUG
rnacentral:rRNA from 1 species